CUCUCAUGAGGAAGAAUCAAUUUGCAAGGUAUUGAACAAACCCUUGGGUUCUGCUGCGGAGAGGUGACCACCCAUGAAAACAACUGCCAUGAAAAAACCACAAGAAUCAUCCAUGCUCCUCCUGCCUGAAUAUAAACAGCAUGAAUUAGGACUUGGACAACAAACGCCUUGGCCAAAGAUCACAAGGACUUCACGUACCUGCAGAACUGUGGAGAAAGCUGGGGAGGAUUACUAGGCUGUGUGACAGUCUAAAGAAGAUCCUCCCUGGCUCCUUCAGGGCCUACAGCCUGGGCUACAAAGCCAAUGUUCCAGUGCAUAUGCGUUUGCUGGAGAAACUGUUACUGAGCAACAGUAUCCUGAGUGACACAACACAUCGCCAUGCCUCGCAGAGUGACGGGCACACUGCUUGCUGCAGCCAGGCCCUUCCUUCCACUGAGCUGUGUUGGCAUCAAACUCAGAUCAGCCUUGAACACUCAAAGAAAAACCUGCCUGCUCUGAAUAUUGCCUGA
rnacentral:lncRNA from 14 species